ACAGAUUGCACUGUUUAAAACAGGUAAUUAGAAGUAAGUUCCGGUCAAGUUGGUAUACCAUUUAAGAAUUCUUUGAUACUGUUUCAGAUCUCCGACUGUAGUGAGUGUCUACUUUAGCAAGAAUCUACCUAAGCGAGAGUCUACUUUAAAGAGAGGAUUGCAUAUCACAACUUCUGGCCUUCAUUUGAAAUCCUUUGCAAAUAUGUUGUCAUCAGCUGGCGCUGGCAUGUUUUCUGUAAUUCUAAGGCCUAACACUUUAAAGUGCCCAAUCACAGCUAAAGUGUAUCAAGCGAUGUUAUUCCACUGUAUGCUAUACCACUUUUACCUCCUCCAACACUUUAGUCGAUCAGCACAAGACAUAAUGAAACUGCAUGGUCACAAUAUUUGAUGGCUCUUCUCCGCUGGCGGAAUCCGCACUGCUACUGCUCUCAGACCAGUAUGAUUUCUCCGCCAUGCGGAACGGAAAUUUCGGGAUGCGGAAUCGCA